rnacentral:tRNA from 1 species
GCGAGCAUAGCUCAGUGGUAGAGCACGACCUUGCCAAGGUUGAUGUCGCGCGUUCGAAUCGCGUUGCUCGCUC